rnacentral:lncRNA from 1 species
GGAUUUUAACCAGCUGCUCCCAAACUCCAGCAACACUUAAACUCUACAGGUGUUAUACAUUAAAAUAUAUAUAUAUGCAUAUAUAUAUAUAUAUAUAUAUAUAUGCAGAUUUUAGUUUAGAGCUCCCCUGUAGCUAUGAAGUGGUGCAGCUGGAUGUGGUGAGCUGACCUGGGCUCGCUGGGGCCUCGCCUUGAUGGCGUUCAAAGCCGGGGCCUGUAGGCCUGGCCUUUGGGCCUGGUUUUGUAGCAGCCAUAGCGGGCUGCCCCUCUUCUAUCAUGCAGGAACGGCUUGUUUCUGGGGUCCCUGUCACCGGGCUGUGAUCUCGCGGAAAGGCCUCCGGGUGUACUCCUUUGUUCCUUGACUAAUUGGAGCCCUCAGGAAGGAGAUGUGCACCGUGGACACAAGUGUGCUGCAGGUUGCAUUCACUGUAGCAUGUCCUAUUGAGAACUUCCCAAGCUUCACCGCUGCCAUGACUCACCGUGUAUUUUCUUCUGGUUCAUUAAUUCAGGAAUUAAACUUAUUGCUUCUUUAGAUAAAGGCCAUGUCAGAGCAUCCCCGUGAGCUUCUUAACAAUUCUUGGUUUUGGUGACUGAUCUAUUCAGAAGCCUGGCUUUGAAUGUGUCGCAAUUGAUGGAAAGAGUUCGAUUGAUUUUUCAGGUGAACUUUGCUUUGGGCCAUUCAUGAAGAAGCAGCAUCACCGCCUGAAGACGUUCUUGGGAAGUGCUUCCUCCACUGAUCUCCCCAGAGAUGAAGAAGCGGGCGGCCUGACCAGGCAGCAGGGCCCUCACGGGGCAGGGGAAAUCCUCGGCCCUCGCCUGGGCCCAGCAGGCAGCUGGAUGUGAACAGUGGCUGCUAUCACAAGUGCAACGCUACCAUUUGCUGCAGAGAUCUCUAAUGAGCCAGGAACGCUGGAAUUUUUCCAGCACGUCGCCCCUGUUGGCUGCCCUCCCAUUUGGUCAUGCUAAACGACUAGGUAAAUAGGCCUUUCAUGAAAUCUAACACCCGCCCUACCUAAUCCCCCUUGCCUUCAAACUGUGGGGCUAAUCAGUUGUUUUGACAUAACCGGGAUCCAAAUUCUAUAAGGAACAUGGCCAAGAAAAGUUCAAAUCCAAGACCAAGAUUAAUGAGAACUUCAAAGAAAUUUACCACCAAAUGUUACUAAUUUAGUACACCCUGUGUUUGAAACCAAUGACCUAAUUGGAAACUAUAUUCUUUAAAAGCCAUUAUGUCCCAGCUCUUUAGUAUUCAGGA